GGGUAUAGCUCAGUGGAAGAGCACGUGCUUAGCAUGCACCAGGUCCUGGGUUCAAUCCCUCGUGCCUCCA
rnacentral:tRNA from 1 species